rnacentral:tRNA from 1 species
UGCGGUGUAGCUCAGUUGGUAGAGCUGAAUGCAAUCGCGUUCGAGUCGCGGGUUCGAGUCCCGUCGCUGCAC